rnacentral:rRNA from 1 species
GCUGGCGGCGUGCUUAACACAUGCAAGUCGAACGUAAAGAGGGAAAGAGCUUGCUCUUUCCGGAAUUGAGUGGCAAACGGGUGAGUAACACGUAAACAACCUGCCUUCAGGAUGGGGACAACAGACGGAAACGACUGCUAAUACCGAAUAAGUUCCAAGAGCCGCAUGGCCCAUGGAAGAAAAGGUGGCCUCUACCUGUAAGCUAUCGCCUGAAGAGGGGUUUGCGUCUGAUUAGCUGGUUGGAGGGGUAACGGCCCACCAAGGCGACGAUCAGUAGCCGGUCUGAGAGGAUGAACGGCCACACUGGAACUGAGACACGGUCCAGACUCCUACGGGAGGCAGCAGUGGGGAAUCUUCCGCAAUGGGCGAAAGCCUGACGGAGCAACGCCGCGUGAGUGAUGACGGCCUUCGGGUUGUAAAACUCUGUGAUCCGGGACGAAAAGGCAGAGUGCGAAGAACAAACUGCAUUGACGGUACCGGAAAAGCAAGCCACGGCUAACUACGUGCCAGCAGCCGCGGUAAUACGUAGGUGGCAAGCGUUGUCCGGAAUUAUUGGGCGUAAAGCGCGCGCAGGCGGCUUCCCAAGUCCCUCUUAAAAGUGCGGGGCUUAACCCCGUGAUGGGAAGGAAACUGGGAAGCUGGAGUAUCGGAGAGGAAAGUGGAAUUCCUAGUGUAGCGGUGAAAUGCGUAGAGAUUAGGAAGAACACCGGUGGCGAAGGCGACUUUCUGGACGAAAACUGACGCUGAGGCGCGAAAGCGUGGGGAGCAAACAGGAUUAGAUACCCUGGUAGUCCACGCCGUAAACGAUGGAUACUAGGUGUAGGAGGUAUCGACCCCUCCUGUGCCCGAGUUAACGCAAUAAGUAUCCCGCCUGGGAAGUACGAUCGCAAGAUUAAAACUCAAA